rnacentral:rRNA from 1 species
UACAUAUGGGGCAAGCGUUGUUCGGAAUUACUGGGCAUAAAGGGUGCGUAGGUGGUCUGUUAAGUCAGAUGUGAAAUCCCCGGGCUUAACCUGGGAACUGCGUUUGAAACUGGAAGGCUAGAGUGUGGCAGAGGGGGGUGGAAUUCCACGUGUAGCAGUGAAAUGCGUAGAGAUGUGGAGGAACACCGAUGGCGAAGGCAGCCCCCUGGGCUAACACUGACGCUCAUGCACGAAAGCGUGGGGAGCAAACAGG